rnacentral:lncRNA from 1 species
CAAAAAAAAUAUAUAGGUCACCGUGCUUGUUUUCGAGAUAUGAGCCAUUGAAAUUUUGACGGGAAAAAAAUCUCUCUUGACUUUUCAUAGCUUUAUAGCAUUGACAAGUUGAAGUUCUCAAAAACUGUUAAAAAGUAAUUAAAAUUUUAUAAGACUUUUACAGUUGGCUUAUCAUUAUACAUGUAAAAGAUUUUCAAAAAGAAAAAUGGGGGUCACCAGGCAAAUUUUUUCAAGGCAUUCAAAUGGAUGAAACCAGAGGAUUCCGAAAAUCUGACAAAAAAUCCAAAACAUGACAAGCCAGCUUCCUUAAUAU